rnacentral:lncRNA from 10 species
AGAUUUACCUGUAUGAAAUUUAUUCAUGGAAAAUGAAUAUAUGCUGUCACAUAAGCCAAGAGAGUGUCUCAGAUCUUAUAAUCCACUGAAGACAGUUCAUAGACAAUCCCUUGAAACAAAAACCAGGCUUCAUGACUAUGCACUACCCAGUUGUCACUCUGCCAAAUAGCAUGGGGAUACAAAGAAGUUGGUACUCACCUUGAAAGGACAACAUGAAGCCUUAUUGAAGCCAAAAUCUCAGUGUUCUGGAGCCAUUUACCUCUACCACCAUAUCUGGUAAUUAAACACGAGGAGGGUACCAACAUUUAAAGCAUGGCCUUUGUGGCUGUGUCAGGAAACAGUUUUCCUGAAGAACUCCUCAAUGAGACAAGAAUUACAGAGUGUAAUUAGAAAUCGUUUGCCAUUAAAUAUAGUUUCAAUUGGAAUGUCAUUUAAAGGUUUGAGAAAAAAUUCUAGCUCUUGUGUGUCGUUUUGAAUUUUCUCCCUGUUGAUUACUUUCUGCUUAGAAAAUAUAUUAAGUAUAAUUAGAGUGAAAGAGAAAGAAAAAUCACUGAUUAUUUCUGUAUCUGUGAGCAACCUAUAGGGAGAUUAAAAGAACGUCAUUGUAGUAUACCUAAGUCCGCAGUCUAAAUGAACAUUUUUAAACUUGUUCUGCCGUGGUGCUAAAAGUAAGAAUAGGCCAACACUGAAAAAAAAAUUAAGUAUACAUUCUCCAAAUUUGUCAUGAUUUCCAUCCAUUAGGUUCUUGCAGAUUGUUGGGGUCUCUUUUCACUCCUGUAGCAGUUACAGAUCCACAGCCAACCUCUCUUUCUAAGACAUAUAUUAAAGUCUUCACCAUUUGAUGAGGACUUUUCACUGCUAAGAUUAACCUGAUGGACAAAUUACAGUAUCUCUCCUGCCAAAAUGAUGUUUUCCUAAUACAAAUGCAACUUUGUGACCGACUAUGUUUCAUUUUCUCCCUUGCUUCAAAUCCUGCUACCUACCGGGGAGAAUUUUCACUUCUGACAGCAAAAAUAAAUCUCUGCAUGAAGACAGGUAGGAAAAUACAGCUUUCAUGUCAGAGGGCUCAGAUUUUCUAUUUCACAUUCAAGAAAUGAUACCUCUUUGAGGUGUUUGGUUGUAUUCUGAAAGCAGAGUACUACACACAAACAUUGAUUCUUUUUCACUAUUUCAAAAAAAAAUUGUCUUCAUUGAGCUAAAACCAAUUUCAGUCUCAGUUGUCUUAUGUACACAGAGACUUCACGUGAACAGUGAUGCCACCUUAUCGAGUGGACUCUGCUACCCAUUCUAGAGCCUAUCUCUGCUUCCUUUUACUUGCUGCCUCUGUUUCCUGCCUACCUGCCCCCUUUCAUCUCUUGCAUUUGGUUUCACUCUACUUAAAGUGCUCUUUGAUAUUGACAACAACCAUUCUCUUGGCAAAAAAUAUUGAUGUUUUCAUGUCUUCACAACCUUGAAUUCUGUUGCACUCAGAGCUGUCUCGGUCUCUUCCUCUUUCUCUGACUGCUCUGUUUCUCUCUUCUUAGAUACACUGACUCAACAUUCAGCCCUUCUUGUUUCUGAAGGUUCUGUCCUCUGCCCUUCAUACUUUUCUUUUCUUUUUUAUCUUUCUUUUUUUUUUUUUUUUUUGAGACAGUUUCGUUCUUGUUGCCCAAGCUGGAAUGCAAUGGUGUGAUCUCGGCUCACUGCAACCUCCGCCUCCCAGGUUCAAAUGAUUCUCCUGCCUCAGCCUCCUGAGUAGCUGGGAUUACAGGCACAUGCCACCACGCCAGGCUAAUUUUUUGUAUUUUUAUUAGAAACGGGGUUUCACCAUGUUAGCCAGGCUGGUCUCAAACUCCUGACCUCAGGUGAUCCGCCAGCCUUGGCCUCCCAAAAUGCUGGGAUUAUUAGCAUGAGCCAUCGUGCCCAGUCCAUACUUGUCACUCAUACUGUUUCAGUCAUUGAGUUUAUAAACUCCAUUGCUUCAACUCUCUCCUCUGAGAAGGUAAUCCCCAAGCCUCCAUCUCCAAUUCUUAUUUUCCAUGUGCUCCUCCUGUUUACAAAUGGCCACAGGCAUUUCCAUUUGAAUGACUCGCCAUAAUGUCAAAUUCUGUAUUUAACCUAUUGGAAAUUGACAUCCUCAUCUUUUCUCCAGAUUAGCUCUCCUUUCUCAGUAAUCCAGCUCUAUCCUUGAUUUCACCGUUAGUUCAGUUUGCCAAAUCACAAAACUUAGUAUCAUUUCUUCUCAUUAGUCACAGAAUAUAAACUUCAACAGAAUGCAGACUUUGUUUUGUUUGCUGAUGAAGGUCCAGGUCCUAGAAGAGAGCCUAGCUCAAAGUAGGUUCUUAAUAAAUACUUACUGAAGGAACAAAUUGUGAGUAUUCAAUGAUAGAAUACACAUAAAGUGAUUGCUAUUAUAUUAGCUGAAGUUCUCAAUAAAUGUUACCUAUCACAUAUUAUUAUUUCUAUGAUUCCUAUUUUCAGUAGUAAUUGCAGCAUUAAAAAGAUGACCCUAAGCACCUCAUUUUCUUGCAUUUAUUUAUAAUUUUUUGAUAUUUUAUUUUUCUCCUUAAUUUUAGAGUGCAGAAACUUUGGUUUGUUGUAGUCCUUUGGCCACAAGGCCUCCAGCAUUUACAACCAUGCAAAGGAAGAUCGCUAAAGAACAGUCUUCCCUGGUUUUGCAGAGGGGGAGGCAAAGUAUAAGAGAGACAGAAAUCUGGGAGUGAAAGGAUCACUCAUCUUGUUUAUAUGUUGGUUUUGUAGGCACUAAGUUUGAGGCACAAAGUUUUCGUAGUCCUUUGAACAAUAAUAAAUGACAAAUGAUCUGAAGAGAAUAUUAAAACAUUUUCAAUUUGAAUCUUCAAAAAAGUAGAUGGAAGGUGUUCUCGUUGAAUUUGGACCACAGGUGACACACAAAAAAAUUCAAAAUGUUAAAUUAUUUUAUCUCUUUGUAAGAUUAUUAUAAUUUGAUAAGCAUUCUUAUUUAACAUUAUCAGAAGAACAAAAACAUAACAGCAAACAAAUAUAAUUUAAUUAUUUUGCUCCUGGUGUGUUUUGCCAUGUUAAAAUGAGCUUUGGGGGUUUUGAUUUGAGAACCUGCCUCUAUUUAUGUUUUCUUUCACUAUUCUGUUACUUUAUGUUGUUUCAUUAACACAAUUUAUAUUCUUGCUUGUUUUCCGUAUUUUGUUAAUUUUUACGUAUAUGUAAUUAUUCAUUUUUAGAAACUCUUAUUUUGGCAAAGCUAGAAGGUAUUCAUGCGUUGGAGUACAAUGUUAAUAUAUCUCCGAUUUGUUACG